rnacentral:rRNA from 1 species
UACGUAGGUGGCAAGCGUUGUCCGGAUUUACUGGGCGUAAAGCGAACGCAGGCGGACUGUUAAGUAGGAAGUGAAAGGUCGGAGCUCAACUCCAACAUUGCUUCCUAUACUGGCAGUCUUGAGUAGCGGAGAGGAAGGGGGAACGACACGUGUAGCGGUGAAAUGCGUUGAUAUGUGUCGGAACACCCAUGGCGAAAGCACCUUCUGGACCGCAAACUGACGCUCAGGUUCGAAAGCCAAGGUAGCGAACAGG